GGAGAGGAAAGGAGAAGUCAUGUACAAACCCUGGAAGACGAUGAAGAGAGAGAAUGUAUUGAUGCCAGCCAGCUCUGCUUUUUCCCUCGCGUUACCCAGGCCCUGCUGCACACUAGGCUGGACCGGAAGAAAUGCAGCUUAGUCGGCUGAUGGAGACAAGAAGUGCUUUGGGGGGCGUGGUCAGAGGACAACUUUUGGGAGUCUGUUCCCUCCUUCCACCAUGUGGGUCCAUGGGAUUGAGCUCAGUCCUUAGAUUUGACAGGCAUUCAGCAACUGAAGAGGUAUUAAACGCCCGACCUUGGACAUCAGGCUUUGUGGUUUCCUACCACAACUUAUGACAUUCUGGAAGCUUCUAGGAAGAAAGCCCUGUGCUGGAACCUUGCACUGGGUGGCAAUGCCUGCAGGUCUGCAUUUCUUAGACUCUGAAAGCUACAGAAAGCAAAGAGGAGAAUGCGGAACAUCUGUGUGUGAGACUCACGCCUUCUGAUACCAGGUUCAUGGGAAGAGAGACCUGAAAAGGGAGAUCUGGCCUACCACAAUUUGGAAAGGAAGAGAGAUCACUUUACGCCAUGAUCAUAUCAUCCACCUCAUAAGUAUCCAUAAAACUCUUCUACAGUCCACAGUGCAGAACUCCCUGGACGACUUCCUGCCUUGGGGCAGCCGACUGCCAUCCAACUUUGGAGUAUCUGCUUUGCUUAGCUUUGCUAAAUAAAUUUCUG